CAGCCCUAAACGAUGCGCGUUAGGUGUAUCGGUGACCACGAGUCACCGAGGUGCCGAAGGGAAACCGUGAAACGUGCCGCCUGGGAAGUACGGUCGCAAGGCUGAAACUUAAAGAAAUUGGCGGGGGAGCACCACAACGGGUGGAGCCUGCGGUUUAAUUGGACUCAACGCCGGGAAGCUCACCGGAUAAGACAGCGGAAUGAUUGCCGGGCUGAAGACCCUGCAUGACCAGCUGAGAGGAGGUGCAUGGCGUAGUCGUGU
rnacentral:rRNA from 1 species